rnacentral:rRNA from 1 species
UCAAUAAGCGGAGGAAAAGAAACUAACAAGGAUUCCCCUAGUAACUGCGAGUGAAGCGGGAAAAGCUCAAAUUUAAAAUCUGGCGGUCUUUGGCCGUCCGAGUUGUAAUCUAGAGAAGUGCUAUCCGCGCUGGACCGUGUACAAGUCUCCUGGAAUGGAGCGUCAUAGAGGGUGAGAAUCCCGUCUUUGACACGGACUGCCAGGGCUUUGUGAUGUGCUCUCAAAGAGUCGAGUUGUUUGGGAAUGCAGCUCAAAAUGGGUGGUAAAUUCCAUCUAAAGCUAAAUAUUGGCGAGAGACCGAUAGCGAACAAGUACCGUGAGGGAAAGAUGAAAAGAACUUUGGAAAGAGAGUUAAACAGUACGUGAAAUUGCUGAAAGGGAAACGCUUGAAGUCAGUCGCGUUGUCCAGGGAUCAUCCUUGCUUUUGCUUGGUGCACUUUCUGGUUGAUGGGUCAGCAUCAAUUUUGACCAUUGGAAAAAGAUUAGGGGAAUGUGGCAUCUUUGGAUGUGUUAUAGCCCUUUGUUGCAUACAAUGGUUGGGAUUGAGGAACUCAGCACGCCGCAAGGCCGGGUUUUUAACCACGUACGUGCUUAGGAUGCUGGCAUAAUGGCUUUAAUCGACCCGUCUUGAAACACGGACCAAGGAGUCUAACAUGCCUGCGAGUGUUUGGGUGGAAAACCCGAGCGCGUAAUGAAAGUGAAAGUUGAGAUCCCUGUCGUGGGGAGCAUCGACGCCCGGACCAGACCUUUUGUGACGGUUCCGCGGUAGAGCAUGUAUGUUGGGACCCGAAAGAUGGUGAACUAUGCCUGAAUAGGGUGAAGCCAGAGGAAACUCUGGUGGAGGCUCGUAGCGAUUCUGACGUGCAAAUCGAUCGUCAAAUUUGGGUAUAGGGGCGAAAGACUAAUCGAACCAUCUAGUAGCUGGUUCCUGC